CUAACAUCUCCCCAUUUCCCCCACCCCUUCAGCCCCGCAUAACCACCACGCUACUCUCUGUUUCUCAGGGUUGAGCUGUUUUAGAUUCCGUAUAUAAGUGAGAUCGUAUAGUAUUUCUCUUUCUCAGUCUGACUGAGCUCAUUCAGCAUAAUGCUGGGCAUUGCAUUUUACCCUUCUCCCUCUCCAAUUCCACUCCACCGUCUCGCUGGACUAAACAAGCCUUGUAAGCCGUCUCCCUACCCCCUGCCCUGGCCUCUUGCUCCAAUCCAUUCUUCACACAGCAGUGUGAAAUGUUCCUGUGCCAAGAAAGUGCCUGGCUCACUGCAGAUCCUUGACGCUGCUGGGGGGGUGAAUAAGUGAGGUCUGAGAGGUGGGCAGCGUCAAGGGAUGAAGACGUUGGGUAAGGGUUUGAUUUUGACUUUGAGAGUCAUAGGAGGUGAGUAAGAAAGUAUCUUAACCUGAUUUGGGUACUGUCAGUGUCCUCCAGCCCAAGACCACUGGGAAUACACCUGUGGUUGAACAAGAGGGCUUGACUGCCUCCUUGCAGUGAGGGAGAAGACAUCAUGGGGAACUGUGGGAGCAUCUCAGCUAAAGGGUCUUAGAAGUGCCAGCAUUGGGGCUUAUGUUAGGGGAUUCUGGACAAGAUGCAAGGAGUAGGGUUUGCUCUGAAUUCAAUGUAUUCAGGAAGCAGGGGGAAUACUGUGACUGAAUUUCUUAAUAAAUCUCAUCUUGAAGGUGGGAGAAAGAGGAAGGCUAAAACUGUGAUUGGUAAAGAAGCAGGAGUAACAUUUUUCAGCCAGGAUGGAAGGCGCGUUGGUCAUUUUUGUGGUUUGGACAUUGUUUAUGUUGUUGUCUCUGUUCAGACAUGAUCACAGAGUGGUCUUCUUUUUGUCGUCAUCUAUCAGGGUCACAGAGUGGCCUUGGCUGAUGUUGGAGUUCGAGGCUGUGUUUAUGUUGAACAGAAGAGCACCAAGGCCCAGCUGGGAGUGCCAAGCCAGCUCUCACCUGCCAGGAGCUGCUUUUCCUUGGUGUUAAUAAGACACAGAGUAGAAGCGUGAGUCCAGGCAGAGGGGCAGUGGUCCACGUGAGAGGUGAAGGAGUCUUGUACUAGGUGAGCGUGGAG
rnacentral:lncRNA from 1 species